GACGAACGCUGGCGGCGUGCUUAACACAUGCAAGUCGAACGGUGAAGCGCUUUCCUUUUUGGUUGGUGUGGAUGAGUGGCGAACGGGUGAGUAACACGUUCGUAACCUGCCCUCUUCUUCUGGAUAACGGCAUGAAAGUGUGGCUAAUACGGGAUAUUCUGGGUCUGUCGCAUGAUGGGUCCGUGAAAGCUAUUGUUUCGGUGGGGGAUGGUUUGCGGACUAUUAGGUUGGUGGGUGGGUGAGGGCCUACCAAGGGGGUGAGGGGUCGCCGGCCGGGGAGGGUGGACGGCCACAGAGGGAGUGCGACGCGGACAGGACUCCGACAGGAGGCAGCAGUGGAGAUUAGUGCACAGUGGGCAGAAGCAUGAUGCAGCGACGCGGCGUGAGCGAUGGAGGCCUGCGGGUUGUGAACCUCUUUCGGGAGUGAAGCGGGCCUGCCUCGUUUGUGGGUGGGUUGACGGUAGCUGGAGAAGAAGCGCCGGCUAACUACGUG
rnacentral:rRNA from 1 species